rnacentral:sRNA from 1 species
GCAGGGUGAAGUGGUGCACACCUAUAAUCCCAGCAACUCAGGAGGCUGAGGCAGGAGGAUCACAAGUUCAAAGCCAGUCUCAGCCACUUAGGGAGACCCUAAGCAACUCAGUGAGACCCUGUCUCUA